rnacentral:rRNA from 1 species
AGUGGCGGACGGGUGAGUAACGCGUGGGUAACCUGCCCCAUACAGGGGGAUAACAGAUAGAAAUGUCUGCUAAUACCGCAUAAGACCACAGCGCCGCAUGGCGCAGGGGUAAAAACUCCGGUGGUAUGGGAUGGACCCGCGUCUGAUUAGCUAGUUGGUGGGGUAAAGGCCCACCAAGGCGACGAUCAGUAGCCGACCUGAGAGGGUGACCGGCCACAUUGGGACUGAGACACGGCCCAAACUCCUACGGAAGGCAGCAG